AGAUGUGAGUUGUAGCAUCCAGUCACAAAUGAAAAUACAUACCUGUUCCUUCGAUGCCUCGGGGGCCCUGGCAUUGCCUGGUCGGGUCCACGUGAUGAUGGCUCAGCGCGUUACUGGUGACAGUGGCAGCGGAGAAGAGGAGACUGUACACACAGGACGAGAUGCAAUACAACACAAAUCAUUCAUUCGGCCUGGAAAAGAAAAAGAAAAAAAAAAACUGAGAACAAGGAAAUACUGAAGAUGCAUUUCAAUCCAUUGGUCAAAUCACUGAAGGUGAAUUCUUAAGUCCUUUUUCAUCAUGAGAGUUUUUAAUAUAGAUUUUAACCAAUAAUGCUGAUUCUCUAGAACUCAGGUGCAAUCAACUCAUCUUAACUCUUCUCGUGGACAUUAGUAGAGAGAUGGACCAUCCAGGACACAAGACUCAGAGAGGAGGGGGAGAUUUUAUGAAGGACCUUGAUUCCUUGGCCAAAAGUUAGUACUGAUUCCAUAGACUAUGGAACACAGUGGAGAUUUUGAAUAGGAGGGUGACAUGAUCAAAAUUUCCCUUUAGUGAAUUCAGCAGUGCAACUGGAGCAAGAUGGGAAGAGAGUGACCAUGGGACACAAGUUGAAGGGCAUUAUAGUCUGUCAAGUAGAGAUGAUGACUGGGACAUUGGCGUGAAGAGAAUAUACAAACCAUUGACUAGGUGUGAAGAGCAAAAGACGAUCAAAGAAAACCUUGAGAUUAGAGGUCGGUUGACUGGGGAAAAAAUGGUUAUCAUUAACGACGUGGGGCGACAUCAUGACCUGUUUGGAAGUAGGCAGAAGAUGAGGGUUCAAGGGACUGGCAGGGCAUUCAA
rnacentral:lncRNA from 1 species